UACAGAGGUGGCAAGCGUUGUUCGGAAUUACUGGGCGUAAAGGGCGCGUAGGCGGUUCGUUAAGUCCUGUGUGAAAUCCCCCGGCUCAACUGGGGAACUGCACAGGAAACUAGCGGGCUUGAGUUCGGGAGAGGGAAGCGGAAUUCCGGGUGUAGCGGUGAAAUGCGUAGAUAUCCGGAGGAACACCGGUGGCGAAGGCGGUUUCCUGGACCGACACUGACGCUGAGGCGCGAAAGCUAGGGGAGCAAACGGG
rnacentral:rRNA from 1 species